CCCGUAGGCGGUUCGUCGCGUCCGGUGUGAAAGUCCACCGCUUAACGGUGGAUCCGCGCCGGGUACGGGCGGGCUUGAGUGCGGUAGGGGAGACUGGAAUUCCCGGUGUAACGGUGGAAUGUGUAGAUAUCGGGAAGAACACCAAUGGCGAAGGCAGGUCUCUGGGCCGUCACUGACGCUGAGGAGCGAAAGCGUGGGGAGCGAACA
rnacentral:rRNA from 1 species